rnacentral:rRNA from 1 species
UACAGAGGUGGCAAGCGUUGUUCGGAAUUACUGGGCGUAAAGGGCUCGUAGGCGGCCAACUAAGUCAGACGUGAAAUCCCUCGGCUUAACCCGGGAACUGCGUCCGAUACUGGCAGGCUUGAAUUCGGGAGAGGGAUGUGGAAUUCCAGGUGUAGCGGUGAAAUGCGUAGAUAUCUGGAGGAACACCGGUGGCGAAGGCGGCAUCCUGGACCGAUAUUGACGCUGAUGCGCGAAAGCCAGGGGAGCAAACGGG